rnacentral:rRNA from 1 species
GACGAACGCUGGCGGCGUGCUUAACACAUGCAAGUCGAACGGAAAGGCCCUGCUUUUGUGGGGUGCUCGAGUGGCGAACGGGUGAGUAACACGUGAGUAACCUGCCCUUGACUUUGGGAUAACUUCAGGAAACUGGGGCUAAUACCGGAUAGGAGCUCCUGCUGCAUGGUGUGGGUUGGAAAGUUUCGGCGGUUGGGGCUGGACUCGCGGCUUAUCAGCUUGUUGGUGGGGUAGUGGCUUACCAAGGCUUUGACGGGUAGCCGGCCUGGGAGGGUGACCGGCCACAUUGGGACUGAGAUGCGGCCCAGACUCCUACGGGAGGCAGCAGUGGGGGAUAGUGCACAAUGGGCGGAAGCCUGAUGCAGCAACGCCGCGUGCGGGAUGACGGCCUUCGGGUUGUAAACCGCUUUCGCCUGUGACGAAGCGUGAGUGACGGUAAUGGGUAAAGAAGCACCGGCUAACUACGUG